CUAAUUGAAACGGAAUAAUCUGUUUGUGGACAAAACAAGACAUUAGAGAAGGUCGUCAUGUUGAGCUUUGGGGAACACCAAACAAACAACUGAUUCAUCAAAAAGAAAAUGGAUUGAUGUGAAAUCUUUGUUAGCUGCAGGAUUAUGUGUUGUCCAGUAGGGGGAUCCUGAAUACCACAACUGUCUCAAUUGCUCACACACACCACACAUUAUAAGACACAUGCACAUACCAGUCUGUUCACUCUGUAACCACACUGACAGUUAUGACUCUGAACAUGGACUUUAUCAAACGUGGUGUUAGCAGCUUGUUCCUGUUUCUGCUCUGGGUAAAAGGUCUGGCUGAUGGCAGUGAUGUCACACAGACUGCCAUAGUGUGGGAGAAAAAGGGAGACAACGCAACAAUGCACUGCAACCACACCAAAGGUGGAACAUAUUUCCAGAUGUACUGGUACAGACAGCUGCCGGGAGAAGACAUGAAACAAGUCGCGUUUACAAGAGCAGACAUAGAUCCCGAUUUUGGAAAUUUCAGUGUGAAAAAGUUCGCAGCCACCAAACCCGACGCUCACAGUGGAACAUUCACGGUGAAGAAUGUGGAGCCCGGUGACAAAGGCUGGUAUUUCUGUGCCGUGAGUCAGCCACACAGUGACACCGUCAACUGACGAGGCUGAUCAAAAACCUCUGUGCUGGGUGUUUCUCUUCAUGUUCUUCUAUUAAUGACAUGGAAAUGCUUUUACUGAACCUGCAUUAUGACGCAA